GAAGUGAGUGAUACCCAGCUUCCAGGAAAAGCCUCUAAGCUUCAGUCAUAGAGUGACCGUACCGCAAACCGACACAGGUGGGCUGGUAGAGAAUACCAAGGCGCUUGAGAGAACUCAGGAGAAGGAACUCGGCAAAUUGAUACCGUAACUUCGGGAGAAGGUAUGCCCCUGGUACGUGAAGGCCCUCGCGGCCGGAGCGGAACGGGGUCGCAGAGAAUCGGUGGCUGCGACUGUUUAUUAAAAACACAGCACUCUGCAAACACGAAAGUGGACGUAUAGGGUGUGACGCCUGCCCGGUGCCGGAAGGUUAAGUGAUGGGGUGCAAGCUCUUGAUCGAAGCCCCGGUAAACGGCGGCCGUAACGAUAACGGUCCUAAGGUAGCGAAAUUCCUUGUCGGGUAAGUUCCGACCUGCACGAAUAGCGUAACGAUGGCCACACUGUCUCCUCCUGAGACUCAGCGAAGUUGAAAUGUUUGUGAAGAUGCAAUCUCCCCGCGGCUAGACGGAAAGACCCCAUGAACCUUUACUGUAGCUUUGCAUUGGACUUUGACGGGACUUGUGUAGGAUAGGUGGGAGGCUAUGAAACCGGGACGCCAGUUCCGGUGGAGCCAUCCUUGAAAUACCACCCUGGUGUCGUCGAGGUUCUAACCCAGGCCUGUGAAUCCAGGUCGGGGACCGUGCAUGGUGGUCAGUUUGACUGGGGCGGUCUCCUCCCAAAAGGUAACGGAGGAGUACGAAGGUCACCUAGGUACGGUCGGACAUCGUACUGAUAGUGCAAUGGCAAAAGGUGGCUUGACUGCGUGACCCACAAGUCGAGCAGGUGCGAAAGCAGGUCAUAGUGAUCCGGUGGUUCUGUAUGGAAGGGCCAUCGCUCAACGGAUAAAAGGUACUCUGGGGAUAACAGGCUGAUUCCGCCCAAGAGUUCACAUCGACGGCGGAGUUUGGCACCUCGAUGUCGGCUCAUCACAUCCUGGGGCUGUAGCCGGUCCCAAGGGUAUGGCUGUUCGCCAUUUAAAGUGGUACGUGAGCUGGGUUUAAAACGUCGUGAGACAGUUUGGUCCCUAUCUGCCGUGGGCGCUGGAAGUUUGAGAGGGCCUGCUCCUAGUACGAGAGGACCGGAGUGGACGCACCCCUGGUGUACCGGUUGUGACGCCAGUCGCAUCGCCGGGUAGCUAUGUGCGGAAGAGAUAACCGCUGAAAGCAUCUAAGCGGGAAACUCGCCUCAAGAUGAGACUUCCCCGGGGCCUCGAGCCCCCUGAAGGGUCGUUGAAGACCACAACGUUGAUAGGCCGGGUGUGUAAGCGUGGCAACACGUUCAGCUAACCGGUACUAAUUGCCCGUGUGGCUUGAUCCU
rnacentral:rRNA from 1 species